UCCUACGGGGGGCAGCAGUGGGGAAUAUUGCACAAUGGGGGGAACCCUGAUGCAGCGACGCCGCGUGAGCGAAGAAGUAUUUCGGUAUGUAAAGCUCUAUCAGCAGGGAAGAAAAUGGCGGUACCUGACUAAGAAGCCCCGGCUAACUACGUGCCAGCAGCCGCGGUAAUACGUAGGGGGCAAGCGUUAUCCGGAUUUACUGGGGGUAAAGGGAGCGCAGGCGGCGCGGUAAGGCUGAUGGGAAAGCCCGGGGCUCAACCCCGGGACUGCAUUGGAAACUGGCGUGCUGGAGUGUCGGAGGGGCG
rnacentral:rRNA from 1 species